CAGAUAUUUGAACCUUAUGACCUUUCAGCCUUUUAUUCCGUAUUUAUACAGUAUAUUAUGCAGUGCUCAGGUACAGAUAUCACUCAUGGGUUAGCUUGUGAUUCUUCGGGGUCAUGAGCACCAUGUAGAAUUUCGGGUACUAGAUUCGAGGAGUUACACCAACCCAUUUUGAAAAAUCUACAAACCAAAAACAAUAAACAAAGCAGGCCCAAUUCUAAUUCUAACAAAAGACCUGACCUGCCUUUGCCUAUUUCAUAUACCCGAUAGAAUAGGGUUUCCUAAUCCAUGCUUCAUCCGCCGCAAUCCUCCAAGACCUGAGAAAAUAUUGUCUUCUUCACUGUUUAACCUCUGUUUAUUUUGAAAUUGCUCUGGUAAUCAAUUCUGUACCUUGGAACACUUGUAAAACAACUAAAAAUUCAGCUUUCAAAACUGUGCUCUUCGGUUAUUGGGAAUGUUAAAUCUUUUUGGUGCUUCAUUGAGGAUUUUGGACCCCUGAAAGGACAUAUACAUCCAUCUACGGCCGGUAGGGAGAUAACAAGAUGCUCGAAACUGCAAGUAGUUGAAAUGUGUUUUCCUCUUCAGGUUUAUCAGUUGCAUAACUUGUAAAAACCCUCUCCCACACUGCGAGUCCUUUUUGUUGGCUGGAUUAGAAUAAGCUAGAUAGCUAUGUACAUCUUUUGAUGAUCCUGUGUUAUAUAAAUACUUGCAUGUGAACAAGUAUAGAUUUUGCCUUUUCAGCUUUCUCACCCGUUUGCUGGUGAUACUCUUAUGUAAAGACAUUGCAUUUUAUCACUAUUUAGAAUCUUUUUGCCUAUAA